rnacentral:rRNA from 1 species
GCAUAUCAAUAAGCGGAGGAAAAGAAAAUAACAAUGAUUCCUCUAGUAACUGCGAGUGAAGAGGGAAAAGCUCAAAUUUUAAAUCUGUUAGGUUUACCUAACCGAGUUGUAAUUUGAAGAAGCGUUUUCUGCGAAUUUGGUUAGUCCAAAUCCUUUGGAAUAAGGUAUCAUGGAGGGUGAGAAUCCCGUUCGGUUAACCAAAGCGCUUUACGAUACGCUUUCAAAGAGUCAAGUUGUUUGGGAUUGCAGCUUAAAAUGGGAGGUAAAUUUCUCCUAAGGCUAAAUAUUGGCGAGAGACCGAUAGCGAACAAGUACCGUGAGGGAAAGAUGAAAAGAACUUUGAAAAGAGAGUUAAACAGUACGUGAAAUUGUUGAAAGGAAAACGAUUAAAGUCAGUCGUACCUACGAGUGAUCAACCUACUCGAGUGCGAUUUUGUGGGUAUGUUUGAGCUUAAAAACCUUCAUGCUUACAAAUUGGUGCUCUUUGGGCGUACUUUCUCGUAUGGUAGGUUAACAUCAAUUUCGAUCGUUAUAAAAUGACUGGAGGAAUGUAGCUUCGACCUCGGUUGAAGUGUUAUAGCCUUUGGUAGAUGUAAUGAUUGGGAUUGAGGAUUGCAACGGAUACCCUCUGGGCUAUUCGUCUGAUCUCUGGAAGUUACCUUGGUGUCGAAAGCGUGCUUACGAUAUUAAGGUUGACGGCCAAUAGGUUAGAACGUGAUUAAAUUCGUUAAGGAUGUUGACGUAAUGGCUUUAAACGAC